AAGGGUAUAGCUCAGUGGUAGAGCAUGUGCCCAGCAGGUCCUGGAUUCAAUCCCCAGUACCUCCA
rnacentral:tRNA from 1 species